AAGUUUAUGUAUAUAAUAUGUAAUAUAUGAAGCUUAUGUAUAGUAUACAUAAACUUUAUUAAGAUACUGUACUUGCCUCCAUCUUCUUUUUUUGCAGGAUUUUUAUGUAAAAACUAGGAGCCUUGUCCUUCCUACACUUGGUCCUCACCUACAGGUCCGUUUCCCAUUACUACCAGUCCCAACUAAUGCUCUUGUGUGUUCCUGUGAAUUAAAUACAAGCAAUUUAAAUCUGGACAAAUAUGAAUGCAUGUUCUUAAUUUUCCCUGUAUUUAGCACAAAGGAGGUUGUGGCGCACAUACCACUGUGUACUUUUUAGUACAUCGUUCCCUUAUUUCUUGAAGCUCUUGCACUUCCUAUUGUAUUUUAUUAUUCCUAUGUUUUUAGAAAAGUUCUUACUCCGUAGCCCAGGCUGCUCUUGAACUCAUGAUCCUCUGUCUCUUCCUCAGAGUCCUAAGUCCCAGGGUUAUAGACGUGUGCCAUGACACUGUCCUUGCUUUCUCAUGUUUGAAAUGUGUUUAAUCCAUCAUCUUGAGGUAUAAGAAUUUAUUUCAUCUCACUGUAGUCUUUUGCCCUUAUAAACAAGUAUAAUAGUUUAAUCCUCAAUAAAUAUGGUUAUAUUUAAAUAUGCUAGUCAAACAGACCCAAUGGCACCCCAAAAUUCAUUGGUAUAUCUAUUUUAUAUACCUAACUCAUAUAAUGACUACACCUGUGAAUAUAGUAAUGAAUUCUCCAAGAGCAAUCUAUGAGGAUGAGAUUCUCCACAGUCUCAGUAAAUAGGAAUUCCUCCCUCUUCCCCUUACUCCCUUCCUUUCUUCCCUCUUUCUUGUGUCUUUUCUAUGUAGACCAAGCUGACCUCAAAUUCUCAUCCUUUUGCCUCAGCCUCCUCAGCGCUGGGAUUACAAGUCUGUACCACUGUGGCUGCUUCAGUACACACCCGGAUAAUGCUCCUCUCUGUGGACCGUAUUUAUUACAUUAUUCCCUUGUGUUUGGAAAGCUGGGUUAUUUUGUUUAAAUGUUCAAUUCUCUGAGUAACAGGUAUUUGGAUGCUUUUGGAAACAAAGCGGCAUGAGGGAGGGGCCUUGGGGGCAGCUCCCCCCGAAGUGAUGCAUGUCACUGCAUGGCUGCAUUACAGCCAACUCCAUUGCAGGUAGCUCUGCAUGUUUAUAUUGCCCAGGUAGGCAGGUAUCCAGUGGAUCAGCUUAUUUGUCUUCAUGGUGGCAUACUUAGAAGUAGACCUGGGGACUGGCACAUGCUGGAUAAUUUCUUCACCAUGAAGCUCCAUUGCCCACCUAGUUCCACGUUCUUCUUUCAUCGCAGGAUCUCACUGAGUUGCACAAGCCUGUUCUCUUCAUGGAUGCUUAGCUAUGUUUUAAAAGAAGCUGCCUUAGGAAAAACCAUCUCCUCCUGAAACAUGGGGGCUUUGGGACCGAGGAAGCAACACUGGUGAAUGCAGCUGCCAUUGCCCUUUCUCUGGUGGCGUUAAUGUGUUACCCACAGUCAUAUAAUGUGAAUGAUACUGUCCUCCAGUAGCUCUGAGGGCCAGAGACUUAACACAUUUUAGGGCUGAAAGUUCUGGGCUACACCAUGCAGAAAUGUUAAUGAGAUUCUGAGUGGAGUCUCUAAUCUCAUAUGGUGUGCAGACAGUUAACUAAGCACGAUGCUUUGACUUUCUCGGGGUCAGAAUGACGUUAGGAGUCAGCCCUCUUGCAUCCUGACCCCCUGGCCUGGCCUUUAAGUCUCCUGGGAACACAUUGGGUGGGGCAUGGCAAUAGAGACUGAAACAAGCUAUGAAAAGGGCACGGAUAGAUCCAGAGCUCAGUGUUUCCAGACAACCCACCAAUCUGGGAUGGAGGCAGGGAGGGUCCAAGCUGGAAAGAAGUCAACCAGCUGGGGAGAAUUCAGGGAAAUAACAGGAGAGAUCCCUGUUUUGUCAAGGUAUCAAUCGUGAGAUUAUCUAAAAGCUUUUGGAGCCAAGCGAUAGCCAUGUUUUCUCUCUAGCAGCUUCGUGGUGACAGCAGCGCUGGGCUGUGUGUCUAACGUGUCACCUCCUUUCCCUAACAAGGUUCUUAAGUCUCUCUUGGGGUGGGCAUGGAGAAAACAGAAGGUGAGCGGGAGAAAUGUACCCUCCCUUCUUCUGACUCCUGGACUCUUGUCAACUGGAGAUGCAGUCCUGGGAGGAGGGAAAGCCUCCACCCACAUUAAAGCAGGUGAUACAGAAAGAUCCUCAACAGGUGGUGACACACAUAAGGAAGUGGCAUUAAGGAUCCAGAUCUGGUAGCAACAGAGGAAAGAUAGAAAGGCUGGGCUUAGGAGGAGCAUUGAAGUUAAAGUCAGCACUUGCAACAAAGUCACACAUUAGGUUGUGGUAGGUGCUUGUGGGUUCCAAGUUUCCUGGAAUUUCGGAAUCUUGGCAAUAAUGACAUCUCUCAAGAUAAACAAACCUCUGCAGUCAUGCACAAGUUGUUAAUGGUGGGGUUGGCCAGACUAGCUUUGUGAAGAACUUGAAAUAACUUGUGCUGAAUGAAGUCUAAGAGAAAUUAAUCCAGGUUGAGCCUUAGGAAUAACUACUUAGGUGUGUUGAUGAAUACCCGUGAUCUCAGCACUCAUGAGGCAGAGGUAGGUUGUUACAAGUCUGAGAGUAUUGUGGGUUACAGAAUUUAAUUCUGGGCUAUACAUGACCAUAUAGUGAGACCUGUCUAGUUCCCCCACAAAAGGUUCUACAUUUAGUGACAGGUGGACAACUAUGCCAAUGGACCGAAUCCAUGGAUAUGUGGUGUAAGAGCUGAGGACUGAGUGGAGACCGAAGGCAGUGGGGUAAUACAGGUCUAUGAACUCUACAUCAUGGGUGGAGACAAACAGGACCCUGCACUGAUUUCCAAGGGAAAUUGGGCCUAAGAGCUACCAUGCUUUUAUCCCAUAGGCAAGAAAGCUGGUGUGAGAGAGGAAACUAUGGUUUUGAAGAUAGGUGAGUACUAGGUGAGUCAGGUAGCUGGAAGAGAAUGGAGACCAAAGUUUAGAAAAUAUUUUAAUCUUGGGUGUUGGAAGAAUGAAGGAGAAACACUAUGAAUUGAUCUCAGAAAA